rnacentral:lncRNA from 1 species
AUAAUUCUUUACGUUCAAAAGAGUUCAUAUCAUUGCCUUGCCUAUCAAAUUUACAUCAUCAAAAUUACGAGAACAUUAGCGUCUCCUAAGACUUGAAUUCUUGAAACCUCCGCUGAACCCUCUCUGGCAUCUUUUUUCAUCAAAAGCCAGUUCGGGCUAUGGAAUAUCUUUAAAAUCAACAUAUUAUGUCGUUCUUUUCGCCUUCUUGGCACAUAGACUCGCCUCCUCGAACUUCACUACAUAAGAACCCAAACAUGAAACUUUGUUUCGACUGCUUGGAGUGAAUUACCCAAAUAGUCAUUGAAUUUUGCGAAAAGUUUUCAUGGGGUCACUGAACUUUAAAAAUCACCCCAUUCAUCACUGAACUUUGUAAAAGAUUUCCACGGAGCCACUGAAUUUUAAAAAUCACCUUAUUCAUUACUGAACUUUGCAAAAAGUUUCCACGGGGUCACUGAAUUUAACAAAAAGUUUCUAAGGGAUCACUAAAUUAGAUGAUUUUUAAAGUUCAGUGAUUUCGUGGAAACUUUUGGCAAAGUUCACUGAUGAAUUAGAUGAUUUUUAAAGUUCAGUGACUCUGUGAAAACCUUUUACAAAGUUUAGUGACCAUUUGGAUAAUUCACUCGACUUCUUGCCGCUUUGCAUCUUCGGUUCCAAUCUUCUUCGAAACUUUUUGCCUUCGUUCUUAUUUUCUUCAUCAUCACCCACGGAUUUAAUUCUUGCACAACCCUUUUGAUCUUUGGCGCCAAGAUUUAUAGGUUUUGAAGUCCACUCCUCACAUUGAUCUUGGUCAUCAAGACUGUCGCAACUGGUAUUCUAACUUGAUGAAAUCUCAGAAUCAUGAUCCAUACCGUCCAGGGGAGACGCCAUUAAAAGAGCUUCAAUGAUUCGAGAUCUUCUUGCGCAGAACUCCUCCGGUUUCCCCAAUGCAGCCACCGCUAUUGAUCCCAUUGAUAAAAUCAAAAAUAUUUUCCAUCCCUACAUCGUUAUCAGAGUACUCUCUCUCGAAAAAAGUUCUCAGAUCAAUCCCUUUACCCAUUCUUGAAAGUCUCCAAAUUUUUUCACUUUGAA